GACGAACGCUGGCGGCGUGCCUAAUACAUGCAAGUAGAACGCACAGUUUAUACCGUAGCUUGCUACACCAUAGACUGUGAGUUGCGAACGGGUGAGUAACGCGUAGGUAACCUGCCUGGUAGCGGGGGAUAACUAUUGGAAACGAUAGCUAAUACCGCAUAAUAUUGAUUAUUGCAUGAUAAUUGAUUGAAAGAUGCUAUUGCAUCACUACCAGAUGGACCUGCGUUGUAUUAGCUAGUAGGUGAGGUAACGGCUCACCUAGGCGACGAUACAUAGCCGACCUGAGAGGGUGAUCGGCCACACUGGGACUGAGACACGGCCCAGACUCCUACGGGAGGCAGCAGUAGGGAAUCUUCGGCAAUGGACGAAAGUCUGACCGAGCAACGCCGCGUGAGCGAAGAAGGGUUUCGGAUCGUAAAGCUCUGUUGUAAGAGAAGAACGGGUGUGAGAGUGGAAAGUUCACACUGUGACGGUAUCUUACCAGAAAGGGACGGCUAACUACGUG
rnacentral:rRNA from 1 species